rnacentral:rRNA from 1 species
GAUGAACGCUAGCUACAGGCUUAACACAUGCAAGUCGAGGGGCAGCACAGUGUAGCAAUACAUGGGUGGCGACCGGCGCACGGGUGCGUAACGCGUAUCCAACCUUCCCGUUACUCAGGGAUAGCCUUCCGAAAGGGAGAUUAAUACCUGAUGGUAUCAGAAUUUCGCAUGUUAUUCUGAUUAAAGAUUUAUCGGUAACGGAUGGGGAUGCGUGACAUUAGGUAGAUGGCGGGGUAACGGCCCACCAUGCCUACGAUGUCUAGGGGUUCUGAGAGGAAGGUCCCCCACACUGGAACUGAGACACGGUCCAGACUCCUACGGGAGGCAGCAGUGAGGAAUAUUGGUCAAUGGUCGGAAGACUGAACCAGCCAAGUAGCGUGAAGGAUGAAGGUUCUAUGGAUUGUAAACUUCUUUUAUACGGGAAUAAAACCACCUACGUGUAGGUGCUUGUAUGUACCGUAUGAAUAAGCAUCGGCUAACUCCGUGCCAGCAGCCG